UACCAGCACCCCGAGUGGUCGGGACGAUUAUUGGGCCUAAAGCAUCCGUAGCCGGUUUUACAAGUCCUCCGUUAAAUCCAGCUGCUUAACAGAUGGGCUGCGGAGGAUACUAUAAGACUAGGAGGCAGGAGAGGCAAGCGGUACUCAGUGGGUAGGGGUAAAAUCCGUUGAUCCAUUGAAGACCACCAGUGGCGAAGGCGGCUGACUGGUCCGGUUCUGACGCUGAGGCGCGAAAGCGUGGGGAGCAAACAGG
rnacentral:rRNA from 1 species